rnacentral:rRNA from 1 species
UACGUAGGGUGCAAGCGUUGUCCGGAAUUAUUGGGCGUAAAGAGCUCGUAGGCGGCCUGUUGCGUCCGCUGUGAAAACCCGGGGCUUAACCCCGGGCUUGCAGUGGAUACGGGCAGGCUGGAGGCAGGCAGGGGAGAACGGAAUUCCUGGUGUAGCGGUGAAAUGCGCAGAUAUCAGGAGGAACACCAGCAGCGAAGGCGGCGCUCUGGGCUGGAACUGACGCUGAGGAGCGAAAGCGUGGGUAGCAAACAGG